AAAAAGUUUUCUUUUCUGGAGUCCCAAACGAGGUGCGGGACGGAAGAGGGGGUGAAGGCCAGAGGCUCGGGGCUUCAAGACCGCUGUCUGGAGUCCCCCGUUCCAGGCCAUGUCGGGGCCCACCUGGCUGCCCCCGAAGCAGCCGGAGCCCGCCAGAGCCCCUCAGGGGAGGGCGAUCCCCCGCGGCACCCCGGGGCCACCACCGGCCCACGGAGCAGUGUUACCAGGCCCCAGGGGGACCAGAGGAUCGGGGGCCGGCCUGGGUGGGGUCCCAUGGAGUACUCCAGCACACGCAGGGGCUCCCUGCAGACAGGGGGGGCCUUCGCCCUGGAAGCCUGGACGCCGAGAUAGACUUGCUGAGCAGCACGCUGGCCGAGCUGAAUGGGGGUCGGAGUCAUGCGUCACGGCGACCAGACCGACAGGCAUAUGAGCCCCCGCCACCUCCUGCCUACCGCACGGGCUCCCUGAAGCCAAAUCCAGCCUCGCCGCUCCCAGCGUCUCCCUAUGGGGGCCCCACUCCAGCCUCUUACGCUACCGCCAGCACCCCGGCUGGCCCGGCCUUCCCCGUGCAAGUGAAGGUGGCACAGCCAGUGAGGGGCUGUGGCCCACCCAGGCGGGGAGCCUCUCAGGCCUCUGGGCCCCUCCCGGGCCCCCACUUUACUCUCCCAGGCCGAGGUGAAAUCUGGGGGCCUGGCUAUAGGAGCCAGAGAGAGCCAGGGCCAGGGGCCAAAGAGGAAGCUGCUGGGGUCUCUGGCCCUGCAGGAAGAGGAAGAGGAGGCGAGCACGGGCCCCAGGUGCCCCUGAGCCAGCCUCCAGAGGAUGAGCUGGAUAGGCUGACGAAGAAGCUGGUUCACGACAUGAACCACCCGCCCAGCGGGGAGUACUUUGGUGAGCUGAGGCUGUGGGGUGGGUGGGAUGUGGGAAGGGAGGCUGGGAGACAGAGGGGACAGUGGCUUCCUGGGUCUGUGAAGACUGAUGCUGUUUCUCCCUGUCCUCAGGCCAGUGUGGUGGCUGCGGAGAAGAUGUGGUUGGGGAUGGGGCUGGGGUUGUGGCCCUUGAUCGCGUCUUUCACGUGGGCUGCUUUGUGUGUUCUACAUGCCGGGCCCAGCUUCGCGGCCAGCAUUUCUACGCUGUGGAGAGGAGGGCAUAUUGCGAGGGCUGCUACGUGGCCACCCUGGAGAAAUGUGCCACGUGCUCCCAGCCCAUCCUGGACCGGAUCCUGCGGGCUAUGGGGAAGGCCUACCACCCUGGCUGCUUCACCUGCGUGGUGUGUCACCGCGGCCUCGACGGCAUCCCCUUCACAGUGGAUGCUACGAGCCAGAUCCACUGCAUUGAGGACUUUCACAGGAAGUUUGCCCCAAGAUGCUCAGUGUGCGGUGGGGCCAUAAUGCCUGAGCCAGGUCAGGAGGAGACUGUGAGAAUUGUUGCUCUGGAUCGAAGUUUUCACAUUGGCUGUUACAAGUGCGAGGAGUGUGGGCUGCUGCUCUCCUCUGAGGGCGAGUGUCAGGGCUGCUACCCGCUGGAUGGGCACAUCUUGUGCAAGGCCUGCAGCGCCUGGCGCAUCCAGGAGCUCUCAGCCACCGUCACCACUGACUGCUGAGUCUUCCUAGAAGUACCUGCUGGGUUCUCAGUUCCAGUUCCCAUCCUUUGAUUGAUCACUCUCCCUGACAUCCACCUGUAUGACUUCGUCACCAAAUGCUGUCUCCUCUUUCUCCAAUCAAGAAAUAAUAAUCCCUCGAGUUUACAAAAC
rnacentral:sRNA from 1 species